AGAGUUUGAUCCUGGCUCAGGACGAACGCUGGCGGCGUGCUUAACACAUGCAAGUCGAACGAGGCCCUGCCUUCGGGCAGGUGACCUAGUGGCGAACGGGUGAGUAACACGUGGGCAACCUACCCUCAGCUCUGGGAUAACCCCGGGAAACCGGAGCUAAUACCGGAUAUGACCUGAAACGACAUCGUUUCUGGUGGAAAGUUUUUCGGCUGAGGAUGGGCCCGCGGCCUAUCAGCUUGUUGGUGGGGUAAUGGCCUACCAAGGCGACGACGGGUAGCCGGCCUGAGAGGGCGAUCGGCCACACUGGGACUGAGACACGGCCCAGACUCCUACGGGAGGCAGCAGUGGGGAAUAUUGCGCAAUGGGCGAAAGCCUGACGCAGCGACGCCGCGUGAGGGAUGAAGGCCUUCGGGUUGUAAACCUCUUUCAGCUCCGACGAAGCGAAAGUGACGGUAGGAGCAGAAGAAGCACCGGCCAACUACGUGCCAGCAGCCGCGGUAAUACGUAGGGUGCAAGCGUUGUCCGGAAUUAUUGGGCGUAAAGAGCUCGUAGGCGGUUUGUCGCGUCGGCUGUGAAAUCCCGAGGCUCAACCUCGGGCCUGCAGUCGAUACGGGCAAACUAGAGUGUGGUAGGGGAGACUGGAAUUCCUGGUGUAGCGGUGAAAUGCGCAGAUAUCAGGAGGAACACCGGCGGCGAAGGCGGGUCUCUGGGCCAUAACUGACGCUGAGGAGCGAAAGCGUGGGGAGCGAACAGGAUUAGAUACCCUAGUAGUCC
rnacentral:rRNA from 1 species